UGAACAGAUAUGAAUCUGAACAUUGACACUUUGAUUAUGUUUCAAUUAAUCAAAACACAGAUUAAACAGUUUCAAGUUAGGAUUGUUUGAGUCAAAUCAAUUUUUAGACGUCACAUUCUUUGUAGGAGGAUCUGCCAGUCCUGUGUUUGAACGGAUGUUCAGUGGAGACUUCAAGGAGUCAAGGAAGGAGGAUCAUAAGAUUGAGGUUCCAGAUGUGAAGCCCUUUGAAUUUAGGGAUAUGCUGAUGAGAAACGUAGAGUUUUGAAAAUGUGUGCAGAGAAGUAUGAUUUAUUCAUUCUCCAGGAAAAGGCAUUUCCUUCAUAAAGGAUAAUGUCCCGCUAAUAGACUUUUGUUCCCUCUUUUAUUAAUCAAGAGUUCUUUGUGCCAAUCGUUUGGUUCCUUUUGUAAAGUAUCAAAUUAUACUGGAUCCAUUUCUCUCCUUUGACUUCGUUUUGGAAAUAAAAAUAUAAUAAGACAUACAUGAUGAAAUUUUUUCAUCUGAUGAACUUAAUAUCGACAAGAUUUAUAUUCUUUAAAACUGCUCUUAACUGGGCAUAAUUUCAGACUGAUGAUGAGAAGGAAGACUUGAGAGAAAUCCUUGGACCUACUCUGUACUCUAUUCAAUUUCUUCUUCUCUCAUUUCAUCAAUUCAUGGAUAAAGUAGUUCCUUGAGUAUUACUUACAGAUAUAAAGACGAUGGAUAUUUGAAAUAUAUAGACGUCAUCAAUGCAGUAGGUUUAAGUCAAUUGUUUUGGAACGUCUAAGACCCCUCCAUUGGUUUUAGCAUGGAUCACCCCAUCAAGAUCCAUGGUUUUAGAAUAUGGCAUUCUCCAGAGUAAAUUAAAUCAUUUUCUCUAAGUACUCGUCUGGAAAGGGUUGAUUCACUCCAAAAGGAAACAGAAGCAAAGUGUUUAGUUUCAACAUUAUUUUAUAUAAACUAUGACGGAAUCAAAGAAUGAUGAGAUUUGAUAAACCAAUAGCUAUAGAACCAAAGAAGUUUUAUAGCGCCUGUUUUGAAUAUAGAGAAUCAUCAUAUAACCGGAGAGUUUUCAAUGGUAAAGAAGGCGGGGAAAAAUUGAUAAAAAAUGGAGUUUAAUUUGAUUUUGAGGAUUGUCCCAAUGGUAAUGAUAGUAACACAACUGUUCAAAAGGGUCAAAUUACAUUCAUUAUCUUCAUUCGAAUAUUUUCUAUGAAACAUAGUUGAAAUAUAACUCAUUAUUUUCCAUGUUUCUAUUACUCCAUUUAAUGUAUGUAUAUUUGUCACAGCGGGAAUCUUUUUUUAAAAUACAUAUUUGCUUUAAUCGAUAAA
rnacentral:lncRNA from 1 species